rnacentral:rRNA from 1 species
CAUGAAGCUGGAAUCGCUAGUAAUCGCGGAUCAGAAUGCCGCGGUGAAUACGUUCCCGGGUCUUGUACACACCGCCCGUCACACCAUGGGAGUCGGAAAUGCCCGAAGCCGGUGACCUAACCUUUCAGGAAGGAGCCGUCGAAGGCAGGUCUGAUAACUGGGGUGAAGUCGUAACAAGGUAAC